rnacentral:rRNA from 1 species
UACGUAGGGUGCGAGCGUUGUCCGGAAUUACUGGGCGUAAAGAGCUCGUAGGUGGUUUGUCGCGUCGUUUUGUGAAAACCAGCAGCUCAACUGCUGGCUUGCAGGCGAUACGGGCAGACUUGAGUACUGCAGGGGAGACUGGAAUUCCUGGUGUAGCGGUGAAAUGCGCAGAUAUCAGGAGGAACACCGGUGGCGAAGGCGGGUCUCUGGGCAGUAACUGACGCUGAGGAACGAAAGCGUGGGCAGCGAACAGG